ensembl:lncRNA
CGUCAUUAUGGCCUGUGAGUUGGACAAAGAUGUCUCCGACCAGGCCUUUCCAGUCCUGAGUGGUCAGUCGCUGCUCCAAGGUGUUCCUGAACAGCAGGUGGCGCUGUAAUAACUGCUCCACAAACUUCAGAGACUCCGGUAAGGCUUGACAGAAAGGGUGUGUUUGUCCAGUCUGGCCUACCUGUUACCUCACACAUCCCUGCCCGGAGCCCCUGGAGGUAGCAGUGGAGAAACACUCUUCCCCGGUUGGAACAAGGGGCUGCGGUAGUGCUGGCGCUGCUUUCACCGUGGCUCCUUCCAUUCACCACAAGACCUGUAUUACUAAGAUGAAUAAAGAGAGAGUCACACAGGAAUCACUCUUCUCCUUUAACACGUUCAGGGACGGUUCUGUGGAUACAAAUUAGCCCAAGCCCUGGACUAAAGAAAACCAGUUCAGGGGAGAUUCCUAUUGAGAUGGAUUUUUCGUUCUGGGACAAAACCUAAACUCUGUCAGCGAAGACAGCCCUGAAAACACAUUUAGAAUAAUUUCACUGCUUGUACUUUGUGUGUGUUUGGCAUGACAAGGAGAGGAAUAACUGCAAAGAGUGGUACCUAAGCUACAGAGCUUUUGGACCCCAUUGCUCAAGAGCAAUGCAUACUAUCUACAAGUGAUGUAGUGGCUCAAAUCAAUUCCACACGAGAAGUUAUGCAGUAAUGCUUUUUCCUGCCCUGGACUGGAUUUAGUCUGAAAUAAAGAAAAGGGCAUUGCGACAUUUAAAAGCAGUAUAUGCUGAAGAUGUUACCUCAAUCUGAAAUUGCCUUUAAAGUGGAAAUCUGUGGUUGAAACAACAUGCAUUCUGCCUGUACCGUACAUGAAAAAUAUAUGAUCACUCUUAAAUUCAGACAGAGCUAUGGAUGCAAGGACUGACUGAAAUAGUUUUAAACAUGUUAAAAACAUGAAAAAAUGUAAGGAUUACAGCUCACUUCUUAAGUUAUAAAAUGAAUGUAUCUGUGGCUUCCUGAAGAAUGUAAGUACGAAAAAAUGUAGGAUGUAGAAACUGCAGAAUGCCCCUUUUAAAGCAAUCUGGCCUAUAACUGUCUUUCGGAUUGCAUCCAGGCCCUGGUGUUGACGCGUUGAUGUUUGCGGUGUUCACCUUUCUCUCUGGGUUGCCAGAGCUGAGUGUGUCACCUUCACCUCCUGCUGGUGCAAAGGUCUCUGCCUGCUGCCCCCACAGAGUUGCAGGAUCUGGCAACGCAUUUCUCCAAGUUCAUCCUGUUGGGGUUAUAAUUAUUGGUUUAUUGAAGUUAUUGAUUACAUUAUUAAUUGCACUCACUUAGGCACUGAAUAUUUUCAUGUCACUAGAUGCAGGGCCGUAGCUAACACAAGGAAAGGCGAAUAUGAUUCAUGGGGGCUUAUGGCAUGGCAGGGCCCACAGAUUGUAAUAACAUCAGUGGCAUCUAUAAGUGAGGGGGCCCAGGCAAAUAUAUAUUUUCAGGGGACCUGGAAUUCCGGAAGUCGGUCCUGCCUAGAGGGGAUGAUUAUGUAAAACUGAUGAGGGCCAGAUUUAAAUAUUGACCUGGACACCAGGGGUAGUACUCUCACUCUUAAGAUGAAGUUGAGAGGCAUGACGUAAUUAAACACCCCACCCGAAAACUACACCCUGGAUCACUGGGACCAUUAGACCAGAGGGAAGAGUGCCCCCGGCUGGCCCACCAAAUCCAUUUCCAGCAACAUCAUCUUUCCAUCCUGGUGCCCAACUGGCUUCAGGGGCCAUCCACGGGAUGACGAAUCUGUGUGAAGAAGCGUCCAUCUCACCCUGAGCGACUCCACUAGGGUCUCCAUGCGUAUGGCCUUCCGCUCGCAGCUCCUCCUGGCCUCACCCACCUCCUCCCGGAGGUCACUGUCUCCAUGUUGGAUCUGACUCAGCUCAUACAGAGCACUGGAGAAGCCCACCUUCAACUCGGACACCAGGAUCUGGAGCUGUGGGACGAGCGGAUUGGAUGGAUGGAUGGAGGAAAGAUGGAAGAUUGAUAGUAAAUGGGAUAAGAGAUGGAUGAUGGAAGAAUA